rnacentral:lncRNA from 1 species
GCCUCGACCUCGUCCUCCUCCCCACGUUUUCUCCCCACGAUCCCGUCCUCUUUGUUUAUGUUUAUGGAUGGAGCCCGGUGCGCUCACCGCUGGGGCCUCGGCGCCUCGCUCACCUGCGGAGGGCGUGGCUGCGCUGCGCGGAUACGGCUCGUGACUGCCGCCUGGAAUGGACCGUACCGGACGGGAUCCGGUAAGAAGGAAAGAAACGGAGGGCAUCGGCGGCGGGGCGCAGCCGCCCUGGCCGGUCGGUGCGGGAGCGGCCUAAUUCUGGUUCGCGCGACUACGGAAGAGGAUGAUUGUUAGUUCCUGGUACGCGCUAACUAUAGGUGGCCCGAUCAAAUAGUGCGGGUAGCUAGUUUUUAUUUUUAAUGUUAAUAUUUGUAUUUGUAUUAUUUCCUGGUCGUUUUUUAAUUUUAGUUGCAUUUUAGGAUGUGUUGUAUAACAUUUUUCAUUUAAAUUUAAAUUGAC